rnacentral:lncRNA from 1 species
AUCAGUUCAAUUGCUUUCCUCCUAAGCCACGCCAUUGUCAUUUAGCACUAACCCAUCUACUUACAUCUCAAGAUACCCAACCACCAUGAACUGUCUCAAGGUAUUCAUCAACUCUAUGAUUGCUGAAUACUGUUUUCUGCAAGAAAAGUAUAUCAAUACUUCUCUGAUUAAUCAUACUUUUCAACGAUUUAUUGAAUUUGAACUGAUACUAAUUGUAUACUAACAGACCAUUAUGUGUAUGUCAAGCAACAAUUUUUUUUUUUUUGGGCAUUGAGAGUUUCUGCAUUACGAGAUCAAACACUCGAGCCCUGGAGUGUGCUACUAGUAAAAGACGAAACAGGCAAUAAUGAAAGUAUUAUACUACCAAAAACUCUAAUUUACUAAGGAGUCAUGAUGACUUACCAAACAAUAAAGGUGACUAGAGUUGGAGGAUUUAGCUGGUGCACACAAACCUCGCCUCUUGAGAGCUGCCUAAUCAACCAAAAAG